rnacentral:rRNA from 1 species
ACUCCUACGGGAGGCAGCAGUGAGGAAUAUUGGACAAUGGGCGCAAGCCUGAUCCAGCCAUGCCGCGUGAGCGAUGAAGGCCUUAGGGUUGUAAAGCUCUUUCGCUAGGGAAGAUAAUGACGGUACCUAGUAAAGAAACCCGGCUAACUCCGUGCCAGCAGCCGCGGUAAUACGGAGGGGUUAGCGUUGUUCGGAAUUACUGGGCGUAAAGCGCACGUAGGCGGACUAUUAAGUCAGAGGUGAAAUCCCGGGGCUCAACCCCGGAACUGCCUUUGAUACUGGUAGUCUAGAGGUCGAGAGAGGUGAGUGGAAUUCCAAGUGUAGAGGUGAAAUUCGUAGAUAUUUGGAGGAACACCAGUGGCGAAGGCGGCUCACUGGCUCGAUACUGACGCUGAGGUGCGAAAGUGUGGGGAGCAAACAGGAUUAGAUACCCUGGUAGCUACGAG